UGCGGAGGAUGCAAGCGUUAUCCGGAAUUAUUGGGCGUAAAGCGUCCGUAGGUGGCAUUUCAAGUCUGCCGUUAAAGCCCGAAGCUUAACUUUGGAAAAGCGGUGGAAACUGAGAAGCUAGAGUGCGGUAGGGGUAGAGGGAAUUCCCAGUGAAGCGGUGAAAUGCGUAGAGAUUGGGAAGAACACCGGUGGCGAAAGCGCUCUACUGGGCCGCAACUGACAAUGAUGGGCGAAAGCUAGGGGAGCGAAAGGG
rnacentral:rRNA from 1 species